rnacentral:RNase_P_RNA from 1 species
UUUAGGCAAACGCUGCAAAAAAAGUUUUGUAGAGGAAAGUCCAUGCUCACAAAAGCUGCGAUGCUUUUAACGAUUGUGCUAAGGGAAAAAAUAACCUUAGGUAGAGAAAUCUAACGGCUUCGAAAUGACCUAAGCCAUUGGUAUGGUCACAUUAGAUAUAAAAGUGCCAUAGUGACGAUGCUUAUUAGAAAUAAUAAGAGUGGAACGAGGUAAACCCCACAAGUGAGAAACCCAAAUUAUGGUAGGGGAACUUUGAUAAGGAACUGAACUGAUUCAAAGAUCGCAAGAUAGAUAAAUGUUUGCCACCUUAGGGUACAGAACAUGGCUUAUU